GACUGUGCGCGUUUCGAUAGCUCCACCUUCCACGGCGCGCAAGCGACGCGACCCUUCGGAGCUGGAGGAGCGGCGGAGGGCGAGCGGGGCGGUGUGCACGUAAGAUCCACUCUUCAAUCUCGAGUGAAGAUAUUCGCUCGACAGUUCGUAGCGGAGAAUUUGUUCUGCAUGAAUUGAAAAUCAUUCGAAUUCGAAUGACUGGUCGGUCACUCUACUGAAGUUUUACUCCAAGAAAUUGAGAGUUACAACGAGUCCGAGAAUGAAUCAAAGACAAGCUUCCUCGGCUACAUUCGAAACUACAUUGAGAAAAGAAGAAGCGUUCGAGCCGCACUGAAAGCCUUGUAAGCCAGGAACAAGUGUGUUCCGAAAUCACGAUUUUCUACGUCAAUUUUAAAUGGAAACUUCUUAACGCGCUGUUAUCAUCCUUCAAACAUUGUACGCUACACUACACGUGUUCCUGCAACACGAAACAACGACGAGAGGCAGCGUACGCGAAGGAUGACGGAAGAUCAUGCUUGAAAACGCUGCUUCGUAGAGUUAUAACGAUCUGAAAACGCAAUCGUCUCGUAUCAGCGACAAAAUCGCCUGAAAUCGCACUUGUUGUGCGCAGCCCGAUGUAUCUCUUCGCUCUUGCGCGUCGAUCAAACCGCCUUUUAUUCGACCUCGUCUAAUAUUCUCUCGUCCAUUCUCUAAUAUUCUGCUCAUUUUAUUGCUCAAUAAUACUAUUGUUGCAUAAUAAUAAUUUAUCAGAUUCCACCUUUCCGCGCAACAGCAUUUCCGCCGUUACGUCGCCUUCCGCGUUCCCGUUAUAUAUAUAAAAAAAAAAAGGAAAAAAUAAAAAGUAAAGAGAGAGAAAUAAAGAAAUAUAAAGCGACAUUUUGAAACGAGGUAUCCUGCCGAUGUGAAAAGAUACUACUACGCGCCGCGAACGCAUCGAUGAGACCAAAGCUUCUUAUCUGGGAACCGAUAAAAAAAUUACCUUUUUGCUAUUAACACAACUACUAUCGCGCGCGCUAUCUAUCCAGGUAAUACCAAACGGCUAGCUUUUGUUAUCGCGAGCGCAUUCGCCGUACACUCCUCGCGUGUACACACUUAUAUCAUCGUUUGCAACUUAAUGAGUUACAGUGACAAGCGAGGCGACUUAAAGUUGUUGCAUGUGUCCUCCUUAUUAUUAUAAUGACGUAACAAUAAAUUAUCGCUGUCACAUGUGUAGUGGAAGAUGGAGCGGAGAGUUUCAUGCGUUAAGAGUUUCGGAAGAGAAGAGGAGGUCUCUCUCUCUCUC